AAUGAGACCCAAAACAGACGUUUUGAGCUCACGAAGAAUUAAUUUUUUUCUUCAAAAACUACCAAUUUGAUUUUUUUUAUUUAUGGAUUUAUUUAAUUGAAGAGUUUGUCUAGUGACGUGCGGGAACCGAAACACGAUUGAAAAAAUUUGCCUCGAUAGAAAAACGUUGUGAAGUUUCCUAAAAAUUAAACGGUCAAUCAAUUUCAUUUGGACAAUGGUAAAGUAAUAUCAAUGAAACUUUAUCCACAUCCAUUUCCAUUCAAUUCUUGAGAGACGUGCGGGAUUAGAUUUUACAUUUAAUACAUCAGUAAUUUAAAAAAAAUAUAUUUAUAAAUUAUGAGCACAAAAUUGCGCGUAGGCCGGUCGCUUCCGCCGUUCCGCCUCCUGUUAGUCGACGCUAACGCGUCUUAGAGAGCAGUCCUGUACAACUUUUUCGCGCGGUGCCGUUGUCUACUCGCAUACGUGAUUUAGUGUUAGUGAUACUAAAGUUUUUCAUAAACAUGGUGAAUUUUGGUGGCCAAAACAUUGAUGGUGAGAACAUUAGGAAGAAAAUGUUGCGAAAGCAGAUAAAAAAACUACAGUUAUUGAACCCAAAUAGCGAAGCGCGACCACGAAAAAUCCGAUGAGCAGCCUGCAAGCCAGGACGCAAUAAAAGACAAACCAUGAUUACCAGAAACUGAUGUGGAUCUUCAGACAGUUUCAUAUAGUACUUUUUUGUCACAAUGUACAAGGACAGCU